UCGCUGGAUGGGGAUGGAGUCCCCCAUAACCGCCGACAGGCUGAUGACCCCUACUGCGUC
rnacentral:ncRNA from 3 species